ACUGACAAACUAGAGAGAGCUGCAAGGAGUCAGUACAUCCCUGGCACAACCCACUCCCUCUUACGACAUAUUAUAUGAGACUGUAUGAGCCCUACUUCCACGGUACACUAAAAACCCACGGUCCCUGCAUUAUCUGAGCAGCUGACAAGCUUCUGAAGUUAAGAUUCAUGAACGCUGAGAGCGGUACCCAGUGGAUUUGUGCCAGGCAGAUGCCCAAAGCAGAGAGAGUGAAGCAGUCAGAAUUUCAGACACUCUGAACAACUCCCCUUGGGAUACCUCUGGGGCUGGCGUCUUUACAUCACAACGACAGAGAACUGGCCCUCACGGACUAUGGCCACCGCGUCUUAGAGGUUUUGUUUCUCUGUGGGCGUCCAUGUGCUCUGUUUCUUUCUCUCCUCACCACUCUCCAAACCACACUCACACAAAUAUACAUCCCCAUAUGCAAAGAUGCACAUAUGUAUAUUGUACAUCAGUGUGACACUCACACGCGCGUGGGGUAUUAGCAUAGCCUUUCCCCCCUCCCCCCCAAGUCCCUCUUGUGUUUCCCAGCACCCAGCAUCCUCCAAAGCGGGCAGUGGCACACUAUGGCUCAUAAGCUAAAUCCCGUCACUGCCUGCUUUGUAAAUAAAGUUUUGCUGGAACACA